rnacentral:lncRNA from 1 species
CCACAGUAUAAUUCACUAGAAGAAGUUCCCCUUCAAAAUUUAUUAGUGGAAAUUUAGGACAUUGCUUGAAGUUAUUUUAUAAAAUUCCGGCAUGCUUUCUUUCUUUUUUUUAAAAGAACUUUUUAUUUAUUAUUAUUUAUUUAUUUUUUGUCUUUUGAGGGACGUACCCGCAGCAUAUGGAGGUUCCCAGACUAGGGGUCUAAUCAGACGUGUAAUUGCUGGCCUGUGCCAGAGCCACAACAACUCGGGAUCCGAGCCGCCUCUGCGACCCACACCAUAGCUCAUGGCAACGCUGGAUCCUUAACCCACUGAGCGAGGCCAGGGAUCGAACCUGCAACCUCGAGGUUCCUAGUUGGAUUCGUUAACCACUGCGCCACGCCACGAUGGGAAGUCCAAUUCUGGCAUGCUUUCUAACUCCAUUUCUGGGAAGUUGUGCUAUCUAGUAAACAUAAACCAGCUUGAGGAUUAAUUUACUUAUAGGAGGUGUGGGGGGGAGGUGGCUGUAUUAUUAGGUCCGCCCAGUAGGGCUUUUUGGUUUUCUUUUGUUUUUAAAACCAAGACUCUCUCUUCUUGAAUAGUUCUGUGGGAAAUGUGUUGCUUGGCAACCCCCCCACACACACAUCCUCACCCUCUGCACUGACUGGGGGCCAUUUACUCUCAGAGAAACCACCAGGAGGAAGCUGCCUGUGAGGGAGAUGAGCUGUCAGCAACACUGCACUCAGAGGACUGCCCUUGCAGAGAGCUGCAAGCAGACAAACCAGAACUCCAGAGCCCCUGGUCUCCUGGCUCAUUUGAAUUUGUCCUCUAGUCUGUUACAUAUUUUUUUCACACGUAUAAUCGUUUGUUUGCAGUCUGGAAAUAUAAAACCAGUCAAGAAACAGAGGCCAGAGUAUUGAUUCCACAUAUAAUUGAUAUCAUAUCCAAGGAAAACCCUAAUUGGAAAAGAUACAUGCACCCCAAUGUUCAUUACAGCACUGUUUAUGAUAACCAAAACAUGAAAGCAACCUAAAUGUCCAUCAACAGAGGAAUGGAUAAAGAAGAUGUGGCACAUAUAUGAAAUACAUAAAUGAAAUACUACUCAGCCAUAAAAAAUAAUGAAAUAAUGCCAUUUGCUACAACAUGGUUGGACCUAGAGAUGAUCAUAGUGAGUGAAGUAAGUCACACAGAGAAAGACAAAUAUCAUAUCAUAUAUCACAUUCUAAUGCUCAGGGUGUUUAGGAGCAAGGACAGUGCUUAGCAGAGAGUUUUGCUAAACAGGGAGAGGAAAAAAUUAUUAAGCAUUUACUCAGUGCCAGGAAUUGUGGUGGGUGCCUUACGUCUGUAGUGGACACUGAGGUUAACUUAUGACUUUCAAUCCAAGCCUGCCUUUGAGCAGCAACAAAGGAAUGGUUUCUAAACAGCCUAAUCCCCUCAAAGGAGAUUCAUUCCCUUGCCUGGUGGUGGUGGUGGGUGGGAGGGCAGCUUCUAGAAUCCAGGUUUAAGCCAAUCAGAGCAUUGCACUCCCCUAAUGAGUGGAUAGAUUAAGGCUGGGCCUGAGAUCUAAACUGGGCAUUCAUACAGAAAGGAAAGAUUCUUUCCAUUUAGGGGCAUGAGGCCAAAGCUCUGGGCAGCAGAUGCAUGCAAGCAUAUAGAUCCUUAGUGCCAGAGAGUCGUUAAAUCCAUCAACCAAACCUAAACUGAGCUGACCAGACAUCCUCCACUCCCUCCCCAUACCUUUCUCAGCUUGCUCUCUGCUCUGAAAGGCUGACUUGUCUGGACUGUGUGGUUGCGCUCUCUUGUCCUCUGGCUCUUGGGGAACAUGGGCAGGAUGUGGAAAGAGGGAGCAGGGUAAGACUCUGCAUACUCAUUCUGAGAUAAUCCCCUGUUUGGAGCAUCUUCUUCUGUGAGAUGACACCCUCCCUUACUAUUUAAACUGGUCUGAAUUAUGUUUAUUCGUUAUUUACAGUAACACAUGUACCCACAAACAUAUGUUAUCUCUUGUAAACUUCAGGAGAAGUUAAGGUGCCGUUAUUCUUUCUGUGUUAUUACUCUAAGUGAACCAUGGGCCAGAGAGGUUGAAUACCUUGGACAAGAAGCUAAAGAGGCUGCUUUUGUCCCUUAAGUGUAGAAACUGAUUUAUGUUUACUAAAUGCUCUUUUAUAGUAUUGUUGUUUUGUUUAAAACAUUACUAAAUGUCUUUCAAGUACUUUCUUAACCAAAUGUCAUAAUCAGAAAAUAGGCUCACUUAACC